AUUGAACGCUGGCGGCAUGCUUUACACAUGCAAGUCGAACGGCAGCGCGGGCUUCGGCCUGGCGGCGAGUGGCGAACGGGUGAGUAAUGCAUCGGAACGUGCCCAGUAGUGGGGGAUAGCCCGGCGAAAGCCGGAUUAAUACCGCAUACGACCUGAGGGUGAAAGCGGGGGACCGAAAGGCCUCGCGCUAUUGGAGCGGCCGAUGUCGGAUUAGCUAGUUGGUGGGGUAAAGGCUUACCAAGGCGACGAUCCGUAGCUGGUUUGAGAGGACGACCAGCCAAACGGGAAGUAGGACACGUCCAAAAUCCCCAGGGGGGGCAGCGGGGGGAAUUUUUGGAAAGGGGGGAAAACCCGAAUCCGCACAGCCCCGUGGGGGAAAAAAGGCCUUCGGUUUGUAAACCCUUUUUGUUGGGAAAAAAAUCCUUGGGGGUAAAACCCCGGGGGUAGGAGGUAACCGAAAAAAAAACCACCGCUAAACCAGGG
rnacentral:rRNA from 1 species